rnacentral:rRNA from 1 species
GUCGACCGCCUGGGGAGUACGGCCGCAAGGUUAAAACUCAAAUGAAUUGACGGGGGCCCGCACAAGCGGUGGAGCAUGUGGUUUAAUUCGAUGCAACGCGAAGAACCUUACCUGGUCUUGACAUCCACAGAACUUUCCAGAGAUGGAUUGGUGCCUUCGGGAACUGUGAGACAGGUGCUGCAUGGCUGUCGUCAGCUCGUGUUGUGAAAUGUUGGGUUAAGUCCCGCAACGAGCGCAACCCUUAUCCUUUGUUGCCAGCGGUCCGGCCGGGAACUCAAAGGAGACUGCCAGUGAUAAACUGGAGGAAGGUGGGGAUGACGUCAAGUCAUCAUGGCCCUUACGACCAGGGCUACACACGUGCUACAAUGGCGCAUACAAAGAGAAGCGACCUCGCGAGAGCAAGCGGACCUCAUAAAGUGCGUCGUAGUCCGGAUUGGAGUCUGCAACUCGACUCCAUGAAGUCGGAAUCGCUAGUAAUCGUGGAUCAGAAUGCCACGGUGAAUACGUUCCCGGGCCUUGUACACACCGCCCGUCACACCAUGGGAGUGGGUUGCAAAAGAAGUAGGUAGCUUAACCUUCGGGAGGGCGCUUACCACUUUGUGAUUCAUGACUGGGGUGAAGUCGUAACAAGGUAACCGUAGGGGAACCUGCGGUUG